rnacentral:rRNA from 1 species
AUACGGAGGGUGCAAGCGUUACUCGGAAUCACUGGGCGUAAAGCGCGCGCAGGCGGUCUUUUAAGUUGGAUGUGAAAGCCUACGGCUCAACCGUAGAACUGCAUCCAAAACUAUUUAGCUAGAGUGUGGGAGAGGAAGAUGGAAUUAGUUGUGUAGGGGUAAAAUCCGUAGAGAUAACUAGGAAUACCAAAAGCGAAGGCAAUCUUCUGGAACACUACUGACGCUGAGGCGCGAAGGCGUGGGGAGCAAACAGGAUUAGAUACCCUGGUAGUCC